UGUGAUGGUUGAUGUGCCACAGAGGUGUUUCAGAAGCAGUACAGGGCUGGUCUGUGUCUUUGGUUACUGAUGAAGGCUGGUCAGACUUGACUGGUUCAGACUUUGUCAUGGAUCUACUGGCUGGAGCAGAGGCUGAAGUUCUGCCACCACCAGGGACACCUUCCUCCACAAACACUGACUACUUGUUUAGCUCACAUGGGGAGAGGAUGCCAGUUACAGACCUGGAUGACUUUAUCCCACCUGCACCUCACAUGCAGGCACCUGGGCUGCCUGCUUUUGAUGGAAACCGCUGGGAAAGCGGUUUUCCACAAGAAGGUGAGUGUUACCAAUUAUUUCCAAAGAUUUCAGGUUGGUCAUUUUCAUGAUGUCUCCUCAGCAGUUACUUAUGGUGUACCACAGGGUUCUAUUCUAGGUCCGAUAUUUACAUGCUUCUUUUUGGAAACAUAAUUGGGGAUUUAUUUUCUAGUUACACUCAGCUCAGUUUAUCAUAUAAUAAAUCCUUUUAAAAAGCAGCUAACAUUUUUAUAGUGCUUGAGAACCACCCUGUGAUUUUCUUGAAAGCUGCUACACAAAAACAUUUCUUCUUCUGCAUUUUGGACACAUGAAGGGUGAAAGCUGUAGAGCUGUCAGCUGUGUACCACCUAGUGGUGAGUUGGAUCUGGUACACCCAGUUGAGUUGAAAGCACAAGUCCGCUGCCCUUAAAUUCUUCCAAAUCACAAACCUGGAUUGCCUCCAAAUAUCUGACGAUGGAGAUUAUCUAGGGGGCCAUUAUGGAUAAGCUGCUACCUGUUGCUAAGGACUCUGAUUUGAACUUGGGGGUCAAGGUUGACCUGACCUGAAAUUUAACAAGCAGACAAAUACUGUGGUAAAACCAUGCUUCUUGGAAAGAUGUAUUCAUACUUUCUUCACCUCAAGGUUAUAUUAUUGCAAUAGUCUAUCUAUUGGGGUGAGUCAGAGUUGUCUUACUCGGUUACGGCACGCCUGUUGACCACAUAUCUCAGUGUUGGCCUCUCGUCACUGGAUUCCCGUUUUGUUUAGAGUUCAUUUUAAAAUUCUUGUCUUAACAUACAAAGUGUUGAAUGGCCGGGAACCACCUAACCUAUCCAGUAUCAUCAGUCCUUUUAACACACCAUGGCUUCUCAGGUCAGAUGACUGGCUGCUACUGGUGGCGCCAAUGGCGAGAUUGUAGCUCAGAGGAGAUGGUGCUUUUGCAGUGGUUGCACCUAGACUUUGGAACCUAAUGCCUGUUGGUAUUAGGUAGGCCUCCUCAGUUCCAAUGUUUGUCUUGUCUGUUUUCUCUCUGCCAUUUGAGUCUGCCUGACUGACUCACAACUGUGAUGCAAAGGACUCAAAAUCCCUGAUGAAGGAGACAUCGCCGAUCCAUGACCCCGGGAUCCAUUGGAGCUAUUUGGGGCCUAACCCUAACCCUAACCCUACCCCUCCCAGUCAACCAGGUACCCCGACCCUGGGGACGAACAUCCAGGAUCCUCUGAACCCGGUAACCGAGACCGCCAUCGGAGAGGUGAACUGGAGGAGGAGGAUCCGCAGGGGGACACAGGGGACUGGACACAACGGGCUUGAGCAGGGACAUGUGGAACACGGGGUGGAUCUUCAUGGACGCUGGUAGGGACAGACGGACAGACACUGGACUGAGGACCUCAGCGAUGGUGUAGGGACCAAUAUACCGGGGAGAGAGCUUCCUGUUGGAAUUCCUAAGGUUAAUGUCUCAGGUGGACAACCAUACCUGCUGACCAGGAGCAUAGGCGGGAGCAGGGCAUCUACGUUUAUCAGCCAGGUGGCGGUUGUGGUCAGCAGUCCGCUGAAGGGCAGCCCGGGUCUGGUUCCAGGUGCGCCGAGCGUGGCGGAUGAACUGAGGUGUGGAUGCUGGAGGGUCAGAGUCAGAGGGAAAUAGAGGUGGUUUAUAACCAAGGGAAAUCUUAAAUGGUGACUGACCUGUAGCAGAGGAAACAUGGGAGUUGUGGGCGUAUUUGAUCCAUGCGAGCUGGCUGCUCCAUCCAGAGGGAUUGGAAGAGCAGACACAUCUUAACAUGGCCUCCAACUCUUGGUUCAUCCGCUCACACUGGCCAUUAGUCUGAGGGUGGAAACCUGAACUCAGGGCGACCCGGGCUCCCAGAUGGGUGGCAAACUCCUUCCACACCCGAGAGACAAACUGUGGGCCACAGUCCGAAAGGAUCUCAGAGGGGAUCCCGUGUAGGCGGAAAACAUGUUUGAUAAGCAAGUUGGCAGUUUCAGCAGAGGUAGGAAGGUGUUUAAGGGGAACCAGGUGGCAAGACUUGGAAAAGCGGUCAACAAUGGUGAGGAUAGAAUUGAAACCCUGGAAGACAGGCAAACCUGUGACAAAGUCCAGAGCCAGAUGAGACCAGGGGCGUGACGGAACCGGUAGGGGACAGAGGAGACCACAAGGCGGCUGAUUGGUUGUCUUACUCCUGGCACAGACCUGACAAGCGCUAAUGUACUCCUUAACGUCUUUGUAGAGCAACGGCCACCAGAACGUUCUCCGUCUGAGGGCUAGCGUCCUUCCUACGCCUGGGUGGAUGGAAAACUUGGAGGCGUGAGCCCAUUUAAUCAGGGAGCUGCAAACAGAGGCUGGAACAUAGGUGCGGUUAGGAGGCCCCGUACCUGGGUCUGGGUCAGUCUGCUGGGCCUCCAGCACCUUGGUGGUAAUGUCCCAGGUGAUGGUGCCAACAACGCAAGAGGGGAAAGGAUGGUGGUGGGGUCAACCUCCUUGUCCGAGGCGUAUUGUCGGGACAGAGCAUCAGGUUUAGUGUUCUUGGUUCUGGGUCGGAAAGAGAUAACAAAGUUGAAGCGGGAGAAGAACAGGGACCAUCGGGACUGGCGAGGAUUGAGUCUCUUGGCCUCCUUUAGAUACGCCAAGUUUUUAUGAUCAGUCCAUAUUAUGAUGGGAUGCUCCGCCCCCUCGAGCCAAUGACGCCACUCCUCCAAGGCCAACUUUAUGGCCAGUAACUCGCGAUCUCCCACAUCAUAAUUUUGUUCAGCUGCGGAGAAGCGACGGGAGAAAAAGGCACAGGGAUGCAGUGUCUUAUCAGAGGGGAAGAAUUGGGACAAUACUGCACCUGCACCUGUAUCCGAAGCAUCCACUUCCAGAGUGAAUUGUGCAUUGAGGUCAGGUCUGGUGAGGACGGGUGCCUGGGUGAAGCUGUCCUUCAGGGUCUGGAAAGCGUUUUCAGCCUCUGGUGUCCAUAAGAAAGGUCUGUUAAUGGAGGUGAGUUGGGUGAGAGGGGUGGCAAUGGAGCUGUAGCCACGGAUGAACCGGCGGUAGAAAUUGGCGAAACCCAGGAACCAUUGUAGCUGUUUCCUAGUAGUGGGCGUGGGCCACUCCUUUACUGCGCUGACCUUGUCUGGGUCGGCCUUCAGUCCCCCCCUCUCCAGAAUGAAAUCGAGGAACUUCACUGAGGUGGAAUGAAACUCACAUUUCUCAGCUUUGACGUACAGACGGUUCUCCGGAAGUCUCUGGAGUACCGCACUGAUGUGGUGCCGGUGUUCGGUGAUGACAAAUGGGUAAAACAAGGGAUAGAGUGAACCAAUGAAAACAGGGAAAUAAAAUCAACAUACAAGAGGGCCAAAUUCAAAAACAUUCAGGAAACGCCAAGUGGAGAAGGUGGGUUUUUAGGCGACUCUUAAAGACUGGCAGAGAUGGGGACGGCCUAACUGAGGGUGGCAACUGGUUCCAGAGUGACGGUGCUAGGACUGAGAAAGCCCGGUCCCCGCGAGUACAACACGAGGGACAGCGAGCAGGAGCGCAGAGCGCGUGAUGGGGAAAGCCUGUUCAGGAGUGUGGCUAGAUAGGGGGGACCACCAUGCUGGAUGAAAUUAUAAACAAAGACGAGGAGUUUGAAGUGUGAACGAUAAUUGACCGGAAGCCAUUGCAGGGAGGCCAGAACCGAACUGGUUCAUCGACAUAUAAACAUUGGACAAUAGGUUUCCAUAGCUCCAAUAACACAUUUUUGAAGAAAAAUGGGAGGUGGCCACCACCGCCAUUUUGACCGUGUCACAGGUUCCGUCAAGCCCAGACAAUUCCACAAAAGGGAAGAGAGGUGGAGCUGAGGGUGGGGCUGUAAGGCUGGGAUCAACUGACGACACCCGGUCGAACUAGCUACAAGCUAACCUGAAGCUAACCCAAAGCUAACGCGGAGGUGGGAGCUAAGCUAACGGAGGUAGCAACCUAGCUACAACCGGAGUUAACUGUGCACAACACCAGAGCUUCUGAGUCAGAGAUACGCCGGGCUGACCGCUGGGUAAAACCGGGUGGAACACAGAGGUCUCCCGAAAGCUGCUGAAAGCCGGCAGCCCGCGCAGCAGACAGAAGCCG
ensembl:lncRNA